rnacentral:tRNA from 1 species
UCCCUGGUGGCUCAGAGGGUAAAGCGUCUGCCUACAAUGUGGAAGACCCAGGUUCGAUCCCUGGGUUGGGAA